rnacentral:tRNA from 1 species
CGGUUCGUAGUUAAAUCAUAACGCUUAAUUUGCAUUUAAGAGUUGGCGCACACCUCUCCCGAGCUUU